rnacentral:rRNA from 1 species
GAUGAACGCUGGCGGCGUGCCUAAUACAUGCAAGUCGAGCGAACAGACGAGGAGCUUGCUCCUCUGACGUUAGCGGCGGACGGGUGAGUAACACGUGGAUAACCUACCUCUAAGACUGGGAUAACUUCGGGAAACCGGAGCUAAUACCGGAUAAUAUAUUGAACCGCAUGGUUCAAUAGUGAAAGACGGUUUUGCUGUUACUUAUAGAUGGAUCCGCGCCGCAUUAGCUAGUUGGUAAGGUAACGGCUUACCAAGGCAACGAUGCGUAGCCGACCUGAGAGGGUGAUCGGCCACACUGGAACUGAGACACGGUCCAGACUCCUACGGGAGGCAGCAGUAGGGAAUCUUCCGCAAUGGGCGAAAGCCUGACGGAGCAACGCCGCGUGAGUGAUGAAGGUCUUCGGAUCGUAAAACUCUGUUAUUAGGGAAGAACAAAUGUGUAAGUAACUAUGCACGUCUUGACGGUGCCUAAUCAGAAAGCCACGGCUAACUACGUG